UAAACGACUCUCGGCAACGGAUAUCUCGGCUCAUGCAUCGAUGAAGAACGUAGCAAAAUGCGAUACUUGGUGUGAAUUGCAGAAUCCCGUGAACCAUCGAGUUUUUGAACGCAAGUUGCGCCCAAUGCCAUUUGGUUGAGGGCACGCCUGCCUGGGCGUCACGC
rnacentral:rRNA from 1 species